rnacentral:rRNA from 1 species
GCGACGAAACGAGAGAGAGGAAGAAGAAGGAGGAAGAAGGAGGGGGUGGGGGGCGGGGGGCUGGGACCUAGGUUUAGGGCUGGGAGGGGUCUUGGCCUUGGCUCCGUUCGUUUUCGAACCGCGUUAAUAACCGGCCUCUAUCCAUCUCUUCGCUCCGUCGAGCGAGCGCCACUCCGCUCUAGUACUUCGCGCUCAUGGUCCUGCGGCCGCCCUCGCCACCGCCCCCGCCGUACCCGAGCAGACUCCUGUUCUACUACCACAGCCGCCGCCGCCCCCUCCCCCUCCUCCACCUGCUCGACGACCGCCGCGAGCCCAUGUUCCACGCCCGGAGGCUGUACCGCCUGCACCGCGUCUUCGACCUCGUCGACCUCUACCGGUACCCCUACCCGCCGCACCCGCGGCCGCGGCGGGGGCUGCUGUCGAAGCGGUGGGUGGAGCGGUGCCUGUGGCACGUGAUGUUGGGGUGGCUGGAGAGGAGGACCCAGCUCUCGUACGACAGCCUCGAGUUGCGCGGCGGCGGCGGGGAGGGCGGGCGGGGCGUCGUCGAGUUGCGGAGGUGGAGGAGGUGGCAGUGCCCGCCACCCAUGAAGCUAGAGGGCGGGAGCCAACUGAGGAGGACGUCGUGGAUGCGGGACGCCGGCUAGGGGAGGGGCCGGCCGCGGCAGCCCGGCCGGCUGGACAGGCGGCUGAGGCACGCCCUGGGGUUCGCCUACGCGUGACCGCCCUCGUCGUGGAGCAGCAGCAGUAGGAGGAGCAGGAGAGAGCCACCCCCGCGGUCCUCGAGACACCACCUCCGACGAGGCGGCCAGCGCCGGCCCCGGUUGCGCGGGCGCGACGGCCAGCAGCACCAGCUGUGCGUCCUCCGGCCCUAAGCCGACCACGUGCGCGACGACCGGACGCGCCUCCGGCACGUCGUCCUCUUGAAGAGACGGCGCCUCCGCGACCACUUCGUCUAUGGGAACGACCGGCGCAGGGUCCCGCCGCGCUACGCGUUCCAGCGGCGGAUGAAGCCGCUCCGGGAGCGGGCGGCGCAGAAGGCGAAGGCGGGCGUCGGCCUGUCGAGGGAGGAGCUGCGGCGGAAGCGGCUGGAGGAGGUGCGCGUGAAGAUGCUCAGGACGGGGAUGGAGUUCAAGCGGGUGAAGUGGCGGUUGGUCCGGUAGGACCUCCGGAAGCGGCCGACGGCGGCGCACGUGCAGCAGCUGAAGCCGUAGUUCGUCCCCUACGUCACCGGGCGGGAGGAGGUCCGGGAGCGCGAGGCAGGGCCGCCGGGAGGGAGCAAGGCGGAGUGGCCGCAGCCGGGGGGCGUCGGCCUGCUCUGGCUGCGGAACGUCGUCCACCCGACCUUCGAGCGGGUCAAGCGCGUGUGGUAGGCGCAGCUGAAGGUCAUGGCGCCGGAGCAGCGGCGGUGCGAGCGCCUGGACCUCGGUAAGUACGACGUCGGCCUCCCGCUCCUCCUGGGCUUGCUCCUCGGGCUCCAUUAGCGGCAGUUGAGCCAGAAGCUCUACGUGGCCGACGAGCGCGUCGGGCCGCGGGACCUCUUCCAGGACCCGUGGCACGCGCGGCACGCCGGCUCCUAGCAGUGGCACCACCUCGUCCUCCGGUUGGUGUUGAGGCCGUGUAAGGACCUGGCGAAGUGGCUCAGAGACGUGAUGAUGAGGUGGUACAAGCUAAGGGAGCUCCCGCCGUCGAGGCCGCCGGGUAGGCUUCAGAGUAGCCCCCGACGGCGACGAGGACGGCGGCGGCCGUGCCUGGUCCAGUACAGGCUCCACAUGGAGCCGGCCGUCUAGACGUUGCACCACCGGACGCUCCCCCGCCUCGCGUGUCUCGCGGUGCUCUGCGACCCCGUCACCGCCUUGGCCGACCCGUUGCGGCCCAAGCUCUGGCACGUGGACCCGAGGUUACGGAUGUUCGUCCGCUCGUGCGACGACCGGGAUAAGCGGCCGCCGCUGCCCAUGUUCCACCUCCUCUUCCUCCCGACGGACUGAGAGCCCACCGUGUGCGCGGGCGACUAGCGGUGGAGCCGUACCGCGGACCGGCGCGGCACUAGCGCUCAAAACUUGCGACAUUCAUGUGUAGCACUCGUACCUCCUGUUGUGUUGGGGCCGCCGGCGGGGCCGAGAGGCCGCGUGCGUGCGUGCGUGGAGACUUCUUCUUCGAUUUACAGUACAGUCAUUUGCGACUUAACGUCGCUGGCCGAUGCUAGCUGCCCCGAUGCCCACCAAGGCAGGCAGGCCGCACUUCUCCACCUGCCUGCUGCUUGAGGCUCGGCUGGUGGCCGUACAUCAUUACAUUAGCGAAGAAGCAAGGGUCAAGAGGGCGUGGAGGUACUAGUGGGCAUUUUGAGGAGGAUUCGGGGUAAUAAUGAUGAUGAUGAUAAUACAAAUUUACAGAUAAUAACGAUGACAUACACAUUAAGGAGGUUAGCGAGUAUAGUUUUAUUCGCGCCCGGCCUGAAACAAUCGUCGAGGAUACUCUUACUUAAAACAUGCGUUCGGUGUAGGUUUUAACCCGACUGGAAACAAGACAAGGCAAGAACUAGUCACCAUAUUCGAACAUACAAGUACCGCAAGUGACGAGAAUACUU